rnacentral:guide_RNA from 1 species
AUCAUAACAAUCUAUAGCGAGUGAACU